UGAAUAAUGAUGCCUGAUGGAUAUCUGGUGGAUCAAGUGGUCCUUAUUUUGUGAGUGGGGAAACUGGGCUUAGAGAGGUAGAAAGGCUUCACCAAUGAAGCUGUGAAGCAUGAGGACAAGGAGGAGAACUCAAGGUCUGCUACACCAAGGCUCUUGACACCACAGCUUUCCCAGACGUGACUCUUGCCUCCUUUGGGCACUGCUCCUUGGGUGAGCCAUCUCCUCUCAGGCAGUAACCAUCCCCAACCCAUGGCAAUAAUCAGAUGAGGUGGAAGGGAGAGAAUCAUGGCCAGUUUCUUGGUGCUUUCUGCUUUCCUGUGACUCCGAGCCCCUGUCAGCCAUCUCUGUGCCCGUGAUGUGCCCUGGACACAGGCUGAGCGGGCCAGGAGGAGCCCAGGGGCAAGGGUGCUCUGUGGAGUUUGGCCUCCCUGUCAGAACUCCAAGCACCAGAAAAGGCGAGCAGUUUGGUUUCCAUGGCAACCUGCCCACCGGAUCCCUGCAGCUGCAGCCCCUCACAGGCCCCUGAGGCGGGGGGCUGCGGGUGGCCUAAGCCAGCCCUGUGCCCACGUCGGCCCCCGCUGGGUUCAGGCCCUAGGCAGGCUGCUCAUUCUAAGCUGGAGCUUUGCCUGACAUGGUUCCCAUGGGGACGGCUGUGGGCACACGCUGCCUGUGGUCAGAUCCCCAGCUCCCAACUGCCCUGCAAUUCAGGCAGCUCCUCCCAGGCUCAGAGCUUUUGGAAGAAACAGAACCAGGAGACAGAAGAUCUGCCUAUCAGCCGACAGAUGUCUCACCCUCCUACCAUCACAGAUGAUUAGAGCCUCAGACUGAGGAGAGUGUCCAAGGUCACCCCACCGCUAUUUGGGAGUGUGGACAUGAGACCCGAGCAAUCUCCAUCGUCUGCCAUGUUCCCAGGCCGGAGAGAGCAACAAAGAGUUCCUGCAGUGAGGAUGCAUGGCUUGAUGAGUGGUGUGUAGGUCUGCACCCAGGAUCCAAACCCAUGAACCCCAGGCUGCUGAAGUGGAGCACCCACCACU
rnacentral:lncRNA from 1 species